rnacentral:pre_miRNA from 1 species
AUUAUACUCCCUCCGUCCGAAAAUACUUGUCGGAGAAAUGGAUAAAAAUGGAUGUAUCUAAAACUAAAAUACAUCUAGAUACAUCCAUUCUUCCGACAAGUAUUUCGGGACCGAGGGAGUACCAU